UGGGGAAUAUUGGACAAUGGGGGCAACCCUGAUCCAGCCAUGCCGCGUGAGUGAUGAAGGCCUUAGGGUUGUAAAGCUCUUUCACCCGGGACGAUAAUGACGGUACCGGGAGAAGAAGCCCCGGCUAACUUCGUGCCAGCAGCCGCGGUAAUACGAAGGGGGCUAGCGUUGUUCGGAAUCACUGGGCGUAAAGCGCACGUAGGCGGACCGUUAAGUCGGAGGUGAAAUCCUGGGGCUCAACCCCAGAACUGCCUUCGAUACUGGCGGUCUCGAGUCCGGAAGAGGUGAGUGGAACUGCCAGUGUAGAGGUGAAAUUCGUAGAUAUUGGCAAGAACACCAGUGGCGAAGGCGGCUCACUGGUCCGGUACUGACGCUGAGGUGCGAAAGCGUAGGGAGCAAACAGGAUUAGAUACCCUGGUAGUCCACGCCGUAAACGAUGAAUGCCAGCCGUCGGGCAGCAUGCUGUUCGGUGGCGCAGCUAACGCUUUAAGCAUCCGCCUGGGGAGUACGGUCGCAAGAUUAAAACUUAAAUGAAUUGACGGGGUCAUAGCUGUUUCCU
rnacentral:rRNA from 1 species